GAUGAAGAACGUAGUGAAAUGCGAUAAGUAAUGUGAAUUGCAGAAUUCAGUGAAUCAUCGAAUCUUUGAACGCACAUUGCGCACGCCAGUAUUCUGGCGGGCAUGCCUGUUCGAGCGUCAUUUCAACCAUCAAGCCCCCGGCUUGUGUUGGGGACCUGCGGCUGCCGCAGGCCCUGAAAAGCAGUGGCGGGCUCGCUGUCACACCGAGCGUAGUAGCAUACAUCUCGCUCUGGGCGUGCUGCGGGUUCCGGCCGUUAAACCACCUUCAUAACCCAAGGUUGACCUCGGAUCAGGUAGGAAGACCCGCUGAACUUAAGCAUAUCAAUAAGCGGAGGA
rnacentral:misc_RNA from 1 species